ACAGGCAUUAGAAAUGAGCCUAAUCUCGGCCAGAAACGCUUAAAGGCACAUUUUGUUAUUUGGAUUUCAGUAGGAACAGCUGUGCGCAAGCAAGUCGCAGCCGGUGUCGGGACAUUCGUCAUAAUUCUAGUGAAUUGCGCUAAUGAAAAGCAUAAAACAACAGCUUAGCAGCUGGGUAACCUCCUGCUCCAGUUGACUGGAAUAGCUGCCGGAAAGGCCGAAGGACACGCGAACGUGCAACUGCGCCACAUUGCCAUGUUGACAAGGAAAUUAAGAAUUUACUGAUUGAAUUUUAUGACUCUUUAUCUGAGCUACUUAUGUAAAUCGCAUUUCAAACCAGGCCAGGCCAUAAAAAGGCCCAGAUGCGAGUGCACAAGUCCUUAAAGGCGCAGAAAGCAGCCUGGAAGACAGGCAGGCAGACAGUCGGAAAGCGUAAAUCAAUUUGCGGCUCAGGUUUGAUAAAGACUUCCUUUUGGAUUCGGCAGCCUCUUUAGCCGCUUAUAAAUGCUUAUAAAUUUUGGUAUGUCUUUUGUUGUCGUCCUUUUUGUAAUGCAAAUUGAUAAAUUUCAUGCGCUCAACUCAAGUCAGA